rnacentral:misc_RNA from 1 species
CCCAAUUUCACUCUCCCUAAUUCCAUCCCAAGGCUUUCCUAGUCAGGCUUCAGCACCUACUGGGUUCGACAACAGCAAAACACACAGGGUGGAUUUGUUUAGGCUCUCCCUGCUGCUUUGUUCCUCGAUGCUGUUGAUCCACCGUCCAUAGCUCUGACGUCUCACCGUGAGAAGAAAUCCAUAUUGAAACUCAAUCACAG